rnacentral:rRNA from 1 species
GACGAACGCUGGCGGCGUGCUUAACACAUGCAAGUCGAACGGAAAGGCCCUGCUUUUGUUGGGUGCUCGAGUGGCGAACGGGUGUGUAACACGUGAGUAACCUGCCCUUGACUUUGGGAUAACUUCAGGAAACUGGGGCUAAUACCGCAUAGGAUCUCCUGCUCCAUGGUGGGGGUUGGAAAGUUUCGGCCGUUGGGGAUGGUCUCGCGGGUUAUCAGCUUGUUGGUGGGGUAGUGGCUUACCAGGGCUUUGACGGGUAGCCCGCCUGGGAGGGUGACCGGGCACAUUGGGACUGAGGUACGGCCCAGUCUCCAACGGGAGGCAGCAGUGGGGAAUAUUGCACAAUGGGCGGAAGCCUGAUGCAGCGACGCCGCGUGCGGGAUGACGGCCUUCGGGUUGUAAACCGCUUUCGCCUGUGACGAAGCGUGAGUGACGGUAAUGGGUAAAGAAGCACCGGCUAACUACGUG